GCGGCGUGCCUAAUACAUGCAAGUCGAGCGAGCGGAACUAACAGAUUUACUUCGGUAAUGACGUUAGGAAAGCGAGCGGCGGAUGGGUGAGUAACACGUGGGGAACCUGCCCCAUAGUCUGGGAUACCACUUGGAAACAGGUGCUAAUACCGGAUAAGAAAGCAGAUCGCAUGAUCAGCUUUUAAAAGGCGGCGUAAGCUGUCGCUAUGGGAUGGCCCCGUGGUGCAUUAGCUAGUUGGUAAGGUAAAGGCUUACCAAGGCGAUGAUGCAUAGCCGAGUUGAGAGACUGAUCGGCCACAUUGGGACUGAGACACGGCCCAAACUCCUACGGGAGGCAGCAGUAGGGAAUCUUCCACAAUGGACGCAAGUCUGAUGGAGCAACGCCGCGUGAGUGAAGAAGGUUUUCGGAUCGUAAAGCUCUGUUGUUGGUGAAGAAGGAUAGAGGUAGUAACUGGCCUUUAUUUGACGGUAAUCAACCAGAAAGUCACGGCUAACUACGUGCCAGCAGCCGCGGUAAUACGUAGGUGGCAAGCGUUGUCCGGAUUUAUUGGGCGUAAAGCGAGCGCAGGCGGAAGAAUAAGUCUGAUGUGAAAGCCCUCGGCUUAACCGAGGAACUGCAUCGGAAACUGUUUUUCUUGAGUGCAGAAGAGGAGAGUGGAACUCCAUGUGUAGCGGUGGAAUGCGUAGAUAUAUGGAAGAACACCAGUGGCGA
rnacentral:rRNA from 1 species